UGGGGAAUAUUGCACAAUGGGCGAAAGCCUGAUCCAGCAAUGCCGCGUGUGUGAAGAAGGCCUUCGGGUUGUAAAGCACUUUUGUCCGGAAAGAAAUCCUUGGCUCUAAUACAGUCGGGGGAUGACGGUACCGGAAGAAUAAGCACCGGCUAACUACGUGCCAGCAGCCGCGGUAAUACGUAGGGUGCAAGCGUUAAUCGGAAUUACUGGGCGUAAAGCGUGCGCAGGCGGUUUGCUAAGACCGAUGUGAAAUCCCCGGGCUCAACCUGGGAACUGCAUUGGUGACUGGCAGGCUAGAGUAUGGCAGAGGGGGGUAGAAUUCCACGUGUAGCAGUGAAAUGCGUAGAGAUGUGGAGGAAUACCGAUGGCGAAGGCAGCCCCCUGGGCCAAUACUGACGCUCAUGCACGAAAGCGUGGGGGAGCAAACAGGAUUAGAUACCCUGGUAGUCCACGCCCUAAACGAUGUCAACUAGUUGUUGGGGAUUCAUUUCCUUAGUAACGUAGCUAACGCGUGAAGUUGACCGCCUGGGGAGUACGGUCGCAAGAUUAAAACUCAAAUGAAUUGACGGGG
rnacentral:rRNA from 1 species